GUGCUCCCUUUGGCAGCAUAGGUACUAAAAUUGGAAGGAUGCAGAGGAAAUGAGUUUGGCCCCUGAGCAAAGAUGGCAUGAAAAUCCAUGAAGCAUUCUGUAUUUUC
rnacentral:snRNA from 1 species